UGGGGAAUUUUCCGCAAUGGGGGCAACCCUGACGGAGCAACGCCGCGUGGGGGAGGACUGUCUGUGGAUUGUAAACCCCUUUUCUCAGGGAAGAAGUUCUGACGGUACCUGAGGAAUCAGCAUCGGCUAACUCCGUGCCAGCAGCCGCGGUAAGACGGAGGAUGCAAGCGUUAUCCGGAAUUAUUGGGCGUAAAGCGUCCGUAGGCGGUUAUACAAGUGUGCUGUCAAAGACCACAGCUCAACUGUGGGCAGGCGGUGGAAACUGUGUGACUAGAGUUCGGUAGGGGUAGAGGGAAUUCCCAGUGUAGCGGUGAAAUGCGUAGAUAUUGGGAAGAACACCAGUGGCGAAGGCGCUCUACUGGGCCGAGACUGACGCUGAUGGACGAAAGCUAGGGGAGCGAAAGGGAUUAGAUACCCCCGU
rnacentral:rRNA from 1 species